AGCGCGCCCGGAGUGAUCCGGCUGCGGGCCAGGGUCUGGGAAGGGGGUGGUGGGUCGCCGUUUCAUCAGAAGCCGGAGGACGGGCGCCAGGGGGCAACUUCCUACAGGAGGGCGUCCCGUUAGAAUGACAGGGCUUUUGCAAAAGUCUGACACCCGUGGCACAGAGCGCCCCAGAUAUGGAGGGUUUCACAGUUGACUCUUGAACAAUGUGGGGGCUUGGGGCACCAACCCCCUGUGCAGUUGAAAAUCGACAUAUAACUUUGACUCGCCAAAAACUUCACUACAAUAGCCUGCUGCCAACCUGAAGUCUUACCAAUAACAUCAACAGUCAAUUAAACAUAUUACUAGGCUGAAAAGGAGAAGGAAGUGAAGGGGUUGGUCUUGCCGUCUCACGAGUGGCAGAGGCAGGAGAAAAUCCAAAUGUCUGGGAUGUUUCUCUUGCAUGCCUCUGGAAUCAAAUGACUCUGAUACUGCAAGCACUUCAGAGUAUGUAUAAGCAAUUUCAGCUGGUUCCGUCCUGAUAUUUACAAAACUGCCUGGAUCAUACUUACAACCAUGCAAUGAUAUAUAUUUCUAUUAAGAAAGCAACGAUUUGCUUGAAAGAUGAAGGAAAACAAACUAAGUAUUUAUGUACAAUGAGUCCUAAGUGUACACCACUAUGUUUUCCAUCAGCUUUUGAUUUUCUGUCACUCCUCUUUUUCUUUGAAAUUUAGAGUCAGAAGUGAACUGACUUCAUGGUUUUCCUCAUGAUUAUUUGAUAUCCUCUAGGGAAUCAUGACUUAAAGACUGCAUUCUUCCUUCUCAAAACUCAUGUUAAAGAUUUCUCCAUGCAGAGCCACAGGCUAUUUUGGAGUUUGAAAUGGAGCAGUUAAAACUAGGAGGUCACACACGUUGAGAUUAUUCCUUCACUGCAUCUCGCCCGGCUUGUGUGCCUGAGGAGACACGCAUCUCAGAGGGCAGAGGGGCAGCCGUUGUCUAGUGAGGUUAUUUCACCUACUAUAUAAUAAAAUGUACAGGACAAUAGCGCA
rnacentral:lncRNA from 1 species